UCCGGGGCCACGUUGUUACCUGACCAGGUGGAAGAUGAGCACCAGGCUGUCCGCGACCCUCUGACUGGACCGGACGAUGAACACGUACAGGUAGACGGCGAUGGCCACGGUCCAGAAGAAGGAGCUGGUGUUGGCGAAGGUGGACACGGCUCCUUGCACGACGCACUCCAGCGAGUCGCUGCGGAAAACGCUCCACACUCCGACGGCGUAGGAGACGGCGGAGAGCCAGUCCGACACGGAGAGGAAGACCAGCAGCCUGCGGGGGGUGGUGCGUAAAUCUGCCCACAGGACGUAGGUGAGGAUGAUCAGCGACGAGCCCAGGAAGGAGAGCGCGCACGAGCACAGCACGACCACCUGCUCGGAGAAGUAAACAACUGUCUCGUUCCCGCUCGCCAUGGUUUGUUGUGCUGUGGUUACGAGCUGCUGUCACCUCAUGGACAUCUGUUUGGGAACAGUCCCCGUGCGCACUAAUCCAUCACGGUGCGCACUUUGGAUGAACACCGGCGCGCCACUGGCCUCCUUCCAGACCAGGACCCUUUUUGAACUCGGGGUCCAGUCGAGCCAAGUGACUCAACAAAGUUAUUUAAUAGUUUUUCAUGUAGCCAAACAAGUCUUUCUCCCUACAGCCUUUAAGCCCUGCCCCCGCCUCCUCGCUCCUUCCUCCCCGCCUCCUCGAUGCGUCAACCCGGAACCAAAGCAGAAGUUGGAGUCAGCUGCUGGUGGGCAGACUGGCAAAUUGCUCAAGGAGGAUAGUGAGAGCAUGUGCUGCAUACUUUUUCAGCAGAGGAGGGAUCAUCGACUUCCGUCUUAUCAGGCACGAGGUGCAACAAAGCUGAGUUAGUGCUCAUCUGAGGGGGAAAAGGUUAUCUGUCAAGCACGGACA